GAUAGGGUUUUUUUUUUUUUUUUUUUUUUUUUUUUUUAAAAAAAUUUUUUUUGUGUCUUUCUUUUUUUUUAUUUGAUUUUUUUUAAUUUAGUUAAUUGCACCGUGUUGGAUAAAUAAAUUUUAUUUUAGAAUAAUAAUUUUUUUUAGUCCCCUUUGUAUCAGGGUUAAUUAAUUUUUUAAAUUUAUUUUUUUUUCCCGAAUAGUGAAGAUCUAUCUUAAUCUGUAUUUUAUUGGGGAAUAAUUAUUUAUAAGUUUGGGAUUGUUUUGACCUGAAAUUCAUUUCUUUUUAUAUCUGGUUAUCUGGUAAAUUGAUUCAAUCGAGAAUUUCUUUUUGUUAAUUUUAUUUUUUUUUUUCAUUUUGAAAUUUUAUAUUAAGGUGGAUAAGCUCUUUUUUAUGUAUAUAAUUUAUUUUUUUUCUUUUUCUUGUUGGAUUAGAAUCUUUCAUCAUUUAAAGUUCGUUGUAGAUUAAAAUAUUCUUUUUUUUUAUAUUUAUUUUUUUACUGGAUUUAAAUUAAUUUUUUUAUUUUUAAUUAUGAUUAAAUUAGUAGAUUUAAAAAUUUCAUUUAUGAAUUAGGCAAGAAAUAAUUUCGCCUGUUUAUCAAAAACAUGUCCUUUUGUAAUUUAUUUAAGGUUGACCUGCUUCAAUGAUUUAAAUAGCCGCAGUAUUUUGACUGUGCUAAGGUAGCAUAAUAAUUAGUCUUUUAAUUGAGGUUUGGAAUGAAUGGUUUGACGAAAAUUAUACUUUAUUUUUGUAAUUUAAUUUGAAUUUUAUUUUUAAGUUAAAAAGCUUGAAUUUUGAAGAGGGACGAUAAGACCCUAUAGAUCUUUAUUUUAUUUUUGAUUUUUUUUUUUUAGUUUAUUUUUAAAAUUUUUAUGAAUUAAAUUUUGUUGGGGUGACAAAUAAAAUUUUAAUCUUUAUUUUUUUUUUACAUUUUUUUAUGUCUGUUUGAUCCUUUAUUUUGAUUAAAAGAUUAAGAUACCUUAGGGAUAACAGCGUUAUAAAUCUGGAGAGUUCUUAUUGAUAGAUGUGUUUAGCGACCUCGAUGUUAUGAUUAAAAGUUUCUGUGGGGUAGGUUUUACAGUUUUAGGUCUGUUCGACCUUUAAAAUUUUACAUGAUCUGAGUUCAAGCCGGCGUGAGCCAGGUUGGUUUCUAUCUUCUUUAAAUUUAUUCUGAUUGGUAGGAAAGGAUUUUUGGUAAUAUAAUAAUUUAUUU
rnacentral:rRNA from 1 species